UACAGAGGGGGCGAGCGUUGUUCGGAAUUACUGGGCGUAAAGGGCGCGUAGGCGGCCUUCUAAGUCGAACGUGAAAUCCCCGGGCUCAACCCGGGAACUGCGUCCGAUACUGGGAGGCUUGAAUCCGGGAGAGGGAUGUGGAAUUCCAGGUGUAGCGGUGAAAUGCGUAGAUAUCUGGAGGAACACCGGUGGCGAAGGCGGCAUCCUGGACCGGUAUUGACGCUGAGGCGCGAAAGCCAGGGGAGCAAACAGG
rnacentral:rRNA from 1 species